GGCUCCGUAGCUUAGCCUGGCUGGAGCAUACGACUGAUAAUCGUAAGGUCCCGAGUUCGAAUCUCGGCGGAGCCA
rnacentral:tRNA from 1 species